GACGUAGGGGGCGAGCGUUGUCCGGAUUUAUUGGGCGUAAAGCGUGCGUAGGCGGCUGCGCAAGUCGGGUGUGAAACCCCGGGGCUCAACCCCGGAACUGCAUCCGAUACUGCGUGGCUAGAGGUAGGUAGGGGAGAUCGGAAUUCCUGGUGUAGCGGUGAAAUGCGCAGAUAUCAGGAGGAACACCGGUGGCGAAGGCGGCAUCCUGGACCGACAUUGACGCUGAGGCGCGAAAGCCAGGGGAGCAAACGGG
rnacentral:rRNA from 1 species